AGUCGUGCGAGAAAAUUUUCUUCGGAGAAUGAGUAGAGCGGCGCACGGGUGAGUAACGCGUGGAUAAUCUGCCCUUAGGUUUGGGAUAACAUUGCGAAAGCGGUGCUAAUACCAAAUGGUCGGCCUUUUUUGUAUAAAUUGGUUGUAAAGGUGGCCUCUAUAUAUAAGCUAUCGCCUAGGGAUGAGUCCGCGUCCCAUUAGUUAGUUGGUGGGGUAAUGGCCUACCAAGGCAACGAUGGGUAGCUGGUCUGAGAGGAUGAUCAGCCACACUGGAACUGAAACACGGUCCAGACUCUUACGGGAGGCAGCAGUGGGGAAUAUUGCGCAAUGGGGGAAACCCUGACGCAGCGACGCCGUGUGAGGGAAGAAGGCCUUCGGGUCGUAAACCUCUGUCAGGAGGGAAGAACCCCAUAGAUUCGAAUAGGGUCUAUGGCUGACGGUACCUCCAGAGGAAGCACCGGCUAACUCCGUGCCAGCAGCCGCGGUAAUACGGAGGGUGCAAGCGUUAUUCGGAAUCACUGGGCGUAAAGCGCGCGUAGGCGGCGAGACAAGUCAGAUGUGAAAGCCCUCGGCCCAACCGGGGAACUGCAUUUGAAACUGUCUUGCUAGAGUUCGGGAGAGGGCAGUGGAAUUCCCGGUGUAGGGGUGAAAUCCGUAGAUAUCGGGAGGAACACCAGUGGCGAAGGCGACUGCCUGGACCGCGACUGACGCUGAGGUGCGAAAGUGUGGGGAGCAAACAGGAUUAGAUACCCUGGUAGUCCACACCGUAAACGAUGGAUGCUAGGUGCUGGGGUCGUUUGGGCUUCGGUGCCGUAGUUAACGCGUUAAGCAUCCCGCCUGGGGAGUACGGUCGCAAGGCUGAAACUCAAAGAAAUUGACGGGGGCCCGCACAAGCGGUGGAGUAUGUGGUUUAAUUCGAUGCAACGCGAAGAACCUUACCUGGACUUGACAUCUCAGGAACCCCCUGGAAACAGAGGGGUGCCCUUCGGGGAACCUGAUGACAGGUGCUGCAUGGCUGUCGUC
rnacentral:rRNA from 1 species